rnacentral:rRNA from 1 species
CAAAAAUAUCGUCUCAGUUCGGACUGUAGUCUGCAACUCGACUACACGAAGCCGGAAUCGCUAGUAAUCGCGAAUCAGAAUGUCGCGGUGAAUACGUUCCCGGGUCUUGUACACACCGCCCGUCACACCAUGGGAGUCGGUAACACCCGAAGUCGGUAGCCUAACCGUAAGGAGGGCGCCGCCGAAGGUGGGAUUGAUGACUGGGGUGAAGUCGUAACAAGGUACC